UACGUAGGUGACAAGCGUUGUCCGGAUUUACUGGGCGUAAAGAGCGUGUAGGCGGUCCGUUAAGUCGGCUGUGAAAGUCCAAGGCUCAACCUUGGGAUGCCGGUCGAUACUGCCGGACUAGAGUUCGGAAGAGGCGAGUGGAAUUCCCGGUGUAGCGGUGAAAUGCGCAGAUAUCGGGAGGAACACCUAUGGCGAAGGCAGCUCGCUGGGACGUUACUGACGCUGGAGACGCGAAAGCGUGGGGAGCAAACAGG
rnacentral:rRNA from 1 species